rnacentral:misc_RNA from 1 species
CAGAGACUCUGCCCCCUGGGUAGACCUCCCACCCUGUGUCGUUGUACCUUUGUUGCUUUGGCGGGCCGCGGGGCCCCGGCCCUGCCCCUGGCUCUGGCUAGGGCGCGCCCGCCAGAGGACCUCAAACCCUGAAUGUUAGUGUCGUCUGAGUGCUAUAUAAUAGUUA